ensembl:lncRNA
AUGAAACAGUGUGGUUGGAUAGUUUGUCAUUUGUAAAUCAACAUGGCUAGCAAAGCCAUUUUUGUGGUACUUUUGGUUGGAUAUUUCUACGUAUCCGAUACGCACGCAACCACAACAACAGGUCCGACAACCACGGCUCCGAUGACCCCAACAGCAGCUCCAACAACCACAACCGCAGGUCCAAUAACCACAACUCCAACAACCACAACUGCAGGACCAACAACCACAACAGUAGCUCCAACCACCACGACAUCAGUUCCAACAACCACAACAGCAGUUCCAACAACCACAACAGCAGCUCCUACCACUACAACAGCAGCUCCUACCACUACAACAGCGGCUCCAACAAUCACAACCGCUGUUCCAACAACCACAACAGCAGGUCCAACAACCACAACUGCAGGACCAACAACCACAACAGUAGCUCCAAUCACCAUGACAGCAGUUCCAACAACCACUACAGCAGUUCCAACAACCACAACAGCAGCUCCAACAACCACAACAGUAGGUCCCACAACCACAACAGCAGCUCCUACCACUACAACAGCGGCUCCAACAAUCACAAUCGCUGUUCCAACAACCACAACAGCAGCUCCAAGUACCACAACAGCAGCUCCAAGUACCACAACUCCAGUUCCAACUACAACAACAGCACCUCCAACAACCACAACUGCAGCUCCAACAACAACAGGCCUGGGUCCACCAACCACAACAGCAGCUCCAACAACCACAACAGUGGCUCCAACAACCCCAGGCCCGGGUCAACCAACCAAAACCGCGGCAACAACACCGACAACUGCUGCACUAACGACAACUGCUGCACCAACAACGACAACUGCUGCACCAACGACAACUACUGCUGCAACAACGACAAUUGCUGCAUCAACAACGACAAUUGCUGCAUCAACAAUGACAACUGCAGCACCAACGACAAUAACUGCUGCACCAACAUUGACAACUGCUGCACAAACGACAACUGCUGCACCAACAACGACAACUGCUGCACAAACGACAUCUGCUGCAGCAACAACGACAACCGUGGGUCCAACAACCACAACAGCAGCUCCAAGUACCACAACUGCAGCUCCAACAACAACAGGCCUGGGUCCACCAACCACCAGAGCAGCUCCAAAAACCACAACAGCGGCUCCAACAACCACAACAGCACUUCCACCAACCACAACAGCGGCUCCAACAACCAUAACAGCGGCUCCAACAACCACAACCGCGGCAACAACACCCACAACUGCUGGACCAACGACAACUGCUGGACCAACACUGACAACUGCUGGACCAACGACAACUGCUGGACCAAUGACAACUGCUGCACAAACGACAACUGCUGCACCGACAACGACAAAUG